AUCAAAUCAAACAGCAAAAAUCAAUUACAAAUCGUAAUGACGUCAUCAUCGGCUGCGAUUUGAAGCCGAUUUGGACUUCACUUCUUCCCUCAGAUCUUGCCGAAAAGCAAUAAUAUAUUAUUCCUAAUAUUAUGCAGAACUUCAAAUAAAAUAUUUUUCCCUCUUGGAACUUUCGUGUAAUGCAAAAUGCGAUUUAUUAAUAGCAUAGCAGUGUGCGCUCGGAUUAAGAAUUCACUUCCUUCCCACUUUUACAAUUAGCACCACGAUUAAAACUGUGCUCUUAAUUAUAGCGUAAUGGUAGUGAUCGUAUCAAGUCAUAUCAGAUCGUAUCAGGUCAUAUCAGAUCGUAUCAGGUCAUAUCAGAUCAAUCGUGGUAAUCGUAUUGAUCGUAGAAAAAAAUUGAAUGGU